rnacentral:rRNA from 1 species
UACGUAGGGGGCAAGCGUUGUCCGGAAUUAUUGGGCGUAAAGAGCGUGUAGGCGGCCAGAUAAGUCCGCUGUGAAAUCUCGAGGCUCAACUUCGAGCUGUCGGUGGAAACUAUCUGGCUAGAGUCCGGAAGAGGAGAAUGGAAUUCCUGGUGUAGCGGUGAAAUGCGCAGAUAUCAGGAAGAACACCGGUGGCGAAGGCGGCGCUCUGGACCGAUACUGACGCUGAGGCGCGAAAGCGUGGGGAGCAAACAGG